CCGGAAUUAUUGGGUUUAAAGGGUGCGCAGGCGGAAGAUUAAGUCGGCGGUGAAAUUUUGCAGCUCAACUGUAAAAGUGCCAUCGAUACUGGUUUUCUUGAGUGCGGAUGAGGUAGGCGGAAUUUGUGGUGUAGCGGUGAAAUGCGUAGAUAUCACAAGGAACACCGAUUGCGGAGGCAGCUUACUAAACCGUUACUGACGCUCAUGCACGAAGGCGUGGGGAUCAAACAGGAUUAGAUACCCUGGUAGUCCACGCAGUAAACGAUGAUUACUAGCUGUUUGCGAUACAUUGUAAGCGGCUGAGCGAAAGCGUUAAGUAAUCCACCUGGGGAGUACGUUCGCAAGAAUGAAACUCAAAGGAAUUGACGGGGGCCCGCACAAGCGGAGGAACAUGUGGUUUAAUUCGAUGAUACGCGAGGAACCUUACC
rnacentral:rRNA from 1 species